GCCGGGGUCGCCUAGCCCGGGAGGGCGCAAGCCUGGAAAGCUUGUGACCCGUAAGGGUCCCGAGGGUUCAAAUCCCUCUCCCGGCGCCA
rnacentral:tRNA from 3 species